GACGAACGCUGGCGGCGCGCUUAGCACAUGCAAGUCGAACGGAAAGGCCUGCUUUCCCUUGUGGAUUGCAGGUACUCGAGUGGCGAACGGGUGAGUAACACGUGAGUGAUCUGCCCCCAACUUGGGUAUAAGCCUGGGAAACUGGGUCUAAUUCCCGAUAGGACUGCAGGGUGGUGCCUGUGGUGGAAAACGAUUUUCUAGUGGUUGGGGAUGAGCUCGCGGCCUAUCAGCUUGUUGGUGGGGUAAUGGCCUACCAAGGCGGCGACGGGUAGCCGGCCUGAGAGGGUGGACGGCCACAUUGGGACUGAGAUACGGCCCAGACUCCUACGGGAGGCAGCAGUGGGGAAUAUUACACAAUGGGCGGAAGCCUGAUGCAGCGACGCCGCGUGGGGGAUGACGGCCUUCGGGUUGUAAACUCCUUUCGACCGCGAGGAAGCCACCUGGUUGGAAGGGUGGUGACGGUAGUGGUAGAAGAAGCACCGGCUAACUACGUA
rnacentral:rRNA from 1 species